GCCAAAGAGGGGGACCUUCGGGCCUCUCGCGUCAGGAUAUGCCUAGGUGGGAUUAGCUAGUUGGUGAGGUAAGGGCUCACCAAGGCGACGAUCCCUAGCUGGUCUGAGAGGAUGAUCAGCCACACUGGAACUGAGACACGGUCCAGACUCCUACGGGAGGCAGCAGUGGGGAAUAUUGCACAAUGGGCGCAAGCCUGAUGCAGCCAUGCCGCGUGUGUGAAGAAGGCCUUCGGGUUGUAAAGCACUUUCAGUCGUGAGGAAGG
rnacentral:rRNA from 1 species